CAGAUUGUAGCUUAUAUUAAAGUUUAUUAUUUACGUUAAUUUGAAAACUCUUGUUCUUUCUGA
rnacentral:tRNA from 1 species